GGGGCCAGAGAACAGUGGCCUGGGCCUCAGGUCAGCGCUGGUGAGGGAAGAAGUGGGGCUCUCUGGAGGCCAGUGUGCUGAGCCCUGCAGUGUGAGGAGGGGUCGCCUAAGUGAGUAGGGACAAGGGCAGGAGGGUAGCCUCUGUGAAGGCCCAGGAUGAUCGAGGGUAGCUCUCUGGAGGGAUGCACUCGUCUGAACGAGUGACAGGGGCCAGGUUGGGAGGGAUUGAGUCCCGCUGCUCACAGCAACCCCCCAACCAGUCUACAUCUCUGCAGCUCUCUCACCACCUUCCCUACUUCAUUGAUCUCCAUUGCACUUAGCAACAUCUGACAUUUGCAUAUUUCACUUGCAUAUUUCUUUGUCAGACUCUUGCAUAUAAACUUCACGAAAGCAAGUGUUUUACAUGUUUUAUUUACAGUGGUGUCCACAGUACCUAGGACAAUGGAUAGAUACAUAGAGGACACUCGACUAAUAUUUCUAAUAUUUCAAUGAAUAAAUGAAUGUUUGAAUGAGAAGAAAACUCAGUAUUAGAGUAAAACAAACAAGAAAUUACUAAAGUGAAUUGAUUAGAGCUUUUUGGGGGAAAUUUCCUCAUUCCCGGGACGUGGCAUGUGCACGUACACACAGCCAAGUAAAUGCUAUGGUGAAAUUAGACUUACUUUCUUACAUCUUCAGGCUGUCGUAUUUGAGACUCUAGGAUUUUAGCAAUAAACUUGCUGAUGCAGCUGAGUUAUAAUAUGACAGAAUGGAUUUGGGCACUAGUGUUAUGCUUGAAAUGUAACAAUGCGGUUGGUUUCUAAAGGAGUAGUUGGUGACAUGGUGAAAUCACUGGUUGCCCUGAUAGGAUAAGGCCACCAGCCCCUGUGAUCUAGCCAUGUUGAUAAGGAUAAGGAUUCCACCCAGCUGUUUUCUUUAGGGAGCCACCCUGGCUAUCUCCCUAUAAGAGCCUAAAGAAACAGGACAAGCAGCCACCAUUGCACCAACCAGGACUGCUCCUGGAAAUGCCAUCUCCCACUGGGCAAUAAAGGACUCCACUUUUCUCAGGAUCUGCCUGUGCCCAACCCUUAUCUAGAACAGAAAGAAACCAUAACCCAUAAUUUCCCCCGAGGAUUCCAACACCUCCCCACUCACUCCCCUAUGAGUCUCAGGAAGACAGGUUUGUUUUCCUGUGAGAAUCCGUGUCUCUUUGCAAAAGGUCUGUUUUCCCAAAUGAAAAGGAAUUUGCUUCAGUUCUGCGUCUGGAACUAGAAAGCCAGGUCUUCACCAAACUCAUGUACAAAGGGAUAAAGUCACAGUUGCCAUGACCUCACACUAACAUCAACAGAUACUUACUGGGUGUAGGACAUUGUGCUAGCUGCUGUGAGGGAAGAAGAAUGGAUAUCUUUCCAAAGAUCUUAAAAGAUACAGACUCAUUUUCCAUUAAAAACUAAUUACUUGGCCAAGCAUGGUGGUUCAUGCCUGUAAUCCCAGCACUUUGAGAGGCUGAGACAGAAAGAUCCCUUGAGCCCAGUUCAAGACCAGCCUGGGCAACAUGGUGAAACCCCAUCUUUACAAAAAAUACAAAAUUUAGCCAGACUUGGUGACUUGUGCCUGUGGUCCCAGCUACUUCAGAUGCUGGGAUGGAUGGAUCACUUGAUCCAGGGAGCUAGAGGUUCUAGUGAGCUGAGAUUGUGCCACUGCACUCUAUCCCGGAUGACAGAACAAGGCCCUAUCUCAAAAAACAAAAUAUACUAAGCACUGAGCUCUGUGAGGUUGUCAGUAUCAUCAAGAGGCUUAGCUUUGUAUGAGCUCCAUUCUGAGAACCUGGGAGGGUUGAGUCUGUGCCAAUAUCCUGCUGUGCUGCGGGAUGGAGCCAAGCCUUGACCUUUUGGGUUGCCACCAGAAUAAAGCUGCAGAUAGAAAAUGUGGGGGUGGGGAGAGUGGAAGAAGGAAUCUCAGAGGGGAAGAAAGGACCUCUAGCUUCAAUUUGAGACAAUUUUUCAAGAAACGUAAUGGAGGCUAUGCACCACAUUCAGGUGUAUUCCAGAUCAGGGGUUGGCAAACCGUGACCCACCCCAGCUUUUGUAUGUACCGUUUGAUGGGAAGGCAGCCACAAUUCAUUUUUUUCUUGUUAUCUAUGAUGCUUUUGUGCUUCAGAAGUAGAGCUGAGCAGUUAUGAUACAUACCGUAUGGCCCAAAAGUUAAAACUAUUUACUAUCUGGUCCUUUACAGAAAAAGUUUACCAACCUUUGGUUUCGAACAUGAACAAGAGUUCUGCCAGUCUGACGUGUACUUUUGAUCAGACGAGUAAGGUUACUCCAGGGAUUUCCAGCUGUUUCCUUCCUACCUAUUUCCCCUCUUUGAAAUUGCCUGUAAUUCCCCCAGCUGCACUGUCCUGUUACAUUAGGCCGAGAGAUGGAAGGCUGUGUGCACUUGGAGCUACACACAUCUGUGCAGUGGGUUACAUGAAGGGGAGAUUAACACCAGCUUCCUUUUUUAAGACAGGGUCUUGCUCUGUCACCCAGGCUGGAGUGCAACGGCAUAAUCAUGGCUCAUUGUAGCCUCAAACUCCUGGGCUCAAGCAAUCCUCCCACCUCAAUCUCCCGAGUAGCUAGGACUACAGGCAUGCACCACCAUACUGGGAUAAUUUUUAAAUUUUUUUCUAGAGACAAGGUCUCACUGUGUUGCUCAGGCUGGUCUGGAACUCCUGAGCUCAAACAAUUUUUCUGCCUUGGCCUCCCAAAGUGCAGGUAUACAGGUAUGGGCCACCGUGCCUGGCCAACACCAGCUUCUUUAGAAAUGAAAGCCCAUGUGAAUACAUUUUAAGAAAAGCAGUUUCCUGUAUUCUUCUGUAAACAUUGUGAAUUUAUUUUAUUUUUCCUCCAAUGGCCUAUGUGGUUGAUCAAUAAUCACAGUAAUUUUCAUAACAUUGUAUGGUUUGGCAUGACAUAAGUAAAAAUAAACCCAGAAGCCAUCAUUCUCAGCAAACUAACACAGGCACAGAAAACCAAACACCGUAUGUUCUCACUUAGAAGUGGAAGUUGAAACAAGAGAACACUUGGACACAGAGAGGGGACCAACACACACCAGGGCCUGUCAGAGGUAGGGGGCGAGGGGAGGGAGAGCAUUGGGACAAAUAGUAUUGUAACCGAGGUUUAAAACCUAGAUGAUGGGUUGACAGGUACACCACACCACCACGGCACACAUGUAUCUAUGUAACAAACCUACACAUUCUGCACUUGUAUUCCAGAACUUAAAAUAAAAAUAGCUAACAUUUAUUGAGCUCUUACUAAAUGUCAGUCCCCAUUUUAAGAGUUUUAUGUGAGCUGUCCUAUUGAAUCCUCAUUUUUGCCGCAAGAGAUAAGGACUGUCAUCACCGUCAUUGUACAGAUGAGCAAACUGGGGAGGAGAGGGGUUAAGUAAUUUGCCCAUGGUCAGACACACAGUAAGUAGAGAAGCAGGGUUUCAAACCACUCCUGCGCCAUGACCUUGGCCACUACAUUCUGUACCGCUUGCCUCAAGAAAUGUGAAAAUAAACAACUAAAAAAAUCUAAUUGGGAAGUAAAUUCUCAUCAGAUAUUCAACAUUUAAGUAUUUGUCAAGUGCUAAUACCAAAUGCUAAUAUGGAAGGACAAUGUUAAUUUUUAUCUACACUGAUCUAUGAUUUUUCAGAUAAAUAUCUUGAAACUAAAUUUUUAAAACCUGUAACUUUUAGUAAUUUCUAUUCUCUUCUGGGUCUUUAUUGGACUUUGAUUUCUUUCUUUUUUAUUGGGAAGCAUUUCUAAGUCAUUCUUAUCAAACUCAACUAUAUAAGAUUAUCAUAAACUAGUGAUUUUCUUCUCAUUACAUCUGAAACGCAGACAGUGAGAAAAAGCAAGACAACUACAAUCUCUGUUUUUAUAUUUUAUUUAACUAUAUUUGCCAAGAUACUUGCAAGGCCUAUGGAGGUCUAGGAACAGCAUCUCCAGUCAACAAUGUUUCCUUCCUUGCACAUCAAUCUUUACUGAUUGGUCAGGGGCCUCCAAGUAGCAAGUUCUUUGUUUGGGGAUUCAAAAGAUGAGUGAACAAUGUAACUCGUUCAUGACAUUUCAGUUAACAACUUUGAAAGAAAAGGUUUUUAAAAUCCAAUGAAACUCCUAAAAAAUAAUUGACUCUGCUUCUGCCCCCAUGUUCUCCUCCAAAGAAUCACACCUGAAAGUUUCCAAUGAUUCCAACAUAUGAAAUCGCAACAUAUGGUGAGAUUUCUUUGGUUCAUAUGGUAUCUUUUCAACAUAUGAAAAGAAACUCACUCUUAUGUCUGCAUUUGAAUCUCCUAAAUCCUUAAUGAAAACAAAUGUACUUUUUAAAUAAUAUGAUCCAUUCUUUUAAAAAUCAAUUAUAAAUGUAACUGCAGUGGUUUAUGUAUUUAUAUACUAUGUGUAAAGCACUGCCUAUAUAUCAAGAUUAUUCAAAUUCCAUCAAUAACGUUGCAAGGACAGUAUGAUCACUUCCACAUUGUGGAUGAGAAUAAUAAGGUUCAGAAAUGUCAGAUAUUUUACCCAGUAAAGUUUAAAAUAUUGGCUUCAAAGUACUGAGUUGUGGAUUUGGAAUUAGGGUUCUUUGUACCGAGCUAUGCUGUAUCAAUUAUCAGUUAAUAUUUUGUCUUUUUUUCCCUCCUAUUACUUUUUAAAUUCACUGAUGCAGAUAGCAUGAACAGAAAUAUCUCACAGAUUUCACAGCUGUUUCAAGCCAUGAGGUCCCUGUUGAUCCAUUUCCUCUGGGAGAGUUUCUACUAGGAGUCCGCAAAUCCAGUGGAGGACACGAUGGAGUCUUCCUGUGUCACCCAGGCUGGAGUACAGGGACGCAAUCUUGGCUCACUGCAACCUCCACCUCCCAGGUUCAAGCAAUUCUCCUGCCUCAGCCUACUGAGCAGCUGGGAUUACAGGUCCCCACCAUCAUGGCUGGCUAAGUUUUGUAUUUUUAAUGAAGACAGGGUGUCACCAUAUUGGGCAGGCUGGUCUCGAACUCCUGACUGCAAGUGAUCUGCCUACUUUGGACUCCAAAAUGCUGGGAUUACAGGUGUGAGCCACCGUGCCAGCCUUAUUUUAAUGUUUUUCUCGCUGGCUUCCAUUUCUUUUCCUGCAUAGAGAAUUUUUGUCUCCUCAAGGAUGGGAUUCACAAGGGCCCUUGGUGUCUGGAAGCAUCAACAGAACACAGGCCUUUGAUGAUGAAGACAGUGCCCACCACAAUGCCCAUGAGGCCCACAGACAACCCCAGGGUGCAGACCACAGUCUCUGUGAGCUCUGACAGAGGGGCUGGAAUCUCAGGCUCUAUGGAAGUGAAGUUGUUGAGGUCAGAAUGCAGAGUGUGCUCCUGUGCAGGUCCACGUAGAACUCCUCAUCUCCAUCAAAUUCAUGGGUGUACUGGCCAGAAGGACCGUAAGACUGGUAGAAGUUCACGCCAUAGGAGGCAACAUGGUCAGCUGAUGAGUGAAGGUGACAAGCAGGAGGGCGGAACACAGGAAGAAAGAACCUUAAUACGGAAAGUGAUUGAAGAAACUGACUUUCAAAUAUUAUGGGCUUCAUCUUUGGCACAGUCCCUGAACAAUACUCUCAGCACCUGUUUUCUCCCUGCCUAAAGCUGGUACUCAUCGGGUUAGAAUUGAUGCUGCCUUUCCCACUGUAACAUAUGCUCUACAAAGGCAAACGGCACACAUCUGCUAUUUUGAGUGCCUACAUUGUGUCUGGCACAUCAUAAGCUUAUGGGGAAUAUUGUAAUAAAAGAAGGAACGAAUGAGUUAUCAUA